rnacentral:rRNA from 1 species
AUUGAACGCUGGCGGAAUGCUUUACACAUGCAAGUCGUGGGGCAGCGCGGACUUCGGUCUGGCGGCGACCGGCAAACGGGUGCGGAACACGUACGCAACCUCCCUCAGAGCGGGGAAUAGCCUCUCGAAAGAGAGAUUAAUACCCCAUAGUAUCUUGAAGACACAUGUCUAUGAGAUUAAAGCUUCGGCACUUUGAGAUGGGCGUGCGGCUGAUUAGGUAGUUGGUAGGGUAACGGCCUACCAAGCCGACGAUCAGUAGCUGAUGUGAGAGCAUGAUCAGCCACACGGGCACUGAGACACGGGCCCGACUCCUACGGGAGGCAGCAGUGAGGAAUAUUGGUCAAUGGAGGAAACUCUGAACCAGCCAUGCCGCGUGGAGGAUGAAGGUCCUCUGGAUUGUAAACUCCUUUUAAUAAAGAAGAAACCCCAUUUUUCAAAUGGGUUGACGGUACUUUAUGAAUAAGCACCGGCUAACUCCGUGCCAGCAGCCGAC